UGGGAAAUGUCUGCUGAAUAACCUAGACAGCAUAGCAGUGAUGCUGUCAAUCCCAUUAGCCAAGCCAGGCUCCCUCUCCUCAGAGAUACUGGAGCUUCAUCUUUCUACUCAGAUAAGGCUCAUAGCUUUCUUCCCCCUGAAACUCACCCUUGGAAGAAUUGCCUCUCGAAAGAUCCCACAGAUGAGACUUGGGAGAUAUGCAGAUCCCACAGCGAUGCCCUACAGUGAGCUGGAGAUAAACUGAAGGGUGCCUUUAAGGGCCCCAAGGGAAGGACUUUGAGAAGGGAAGAAGGGAUGGGAGGUGCAGAGGAAUCUCCAGGCACCUUGGGAGGAUGGACAGUCUGGGCUCAUUUGAUGAAGAGUCUGCUGCAAGCUCAUGGGGACUUGACUUCUGAUCCCCAGAAGUCAUGUAAAAGCCAUGCAUGGUGACACGCAUCAGGAGCCUCUGAUCUAGGAAUGCAGAGCUAGGCAGGUCCCUAGGGCUCAUUGGCCACCCAGCCACACAAAAUAAGUCCCCAUUUCAAUGAGAGGCACCAUCUCAAGAAUAAAAAUGAGGGGCAGAGCAGUUGAGAAUGGCUCCCAAAGUCAACCUCUAGCCUAUAACACUAACACACACACACACACACACACACACACACACACACACACACACACCCCACAGAGAGAGGGGUGGUAUGUGUACCUCAUGACACAAGACAGGAUUUAUUCUGGAGCAAACAGAGAACAAAGAAGUACCUGCUGUGCCCCACAGGAUUUGGGGUCCUUCCUUGGGGUUAUAUCACAGGGACCAUCUUGAAGGCGCACUGCCAUCAAAUGAUGGACAGGCUCCUUCCUAAAGACUUCUAUCCAACAGCUUUGUGUCACAGCAAAGCCAAGGUUUAUGCAGAAAGCAACUAGUAGCUUGGUUAGAAAAGCCUCGCCUAUGCUCUUUAAACAACAAAAAAACCAACAGCUUGUCCACAGAACAUCACCCUUUUCCAGUAUGAAUGACAUUGGCAUAUAGACAAAGUUCUUUGAGGGGACUAUGGGUAUUCAUAAACCUGAAAAACACUUUAAAAAGAUGCCCUAGUAUUUAUUU
rnacentral:lncRNA from 1 species